rnacentral:rRNA from 1 species
GAUGAACGCUGGCGGCGUGCUUAACACAUGCAAGUCGAACGAUGAAGCCCAGCUUGCUGGGUGGAUUAGUGGCGAACGGGUGAGUAACACGUGAGUAACCUGCCCUUGACUCUGGGAUAAGCCUGGGAAACUGGGUCUAAUACUGGAUAUGACCUCUUGCCGCAUGGUGGGAGGUGGAAAGAUUUAUUGGUCUUGGAUGGACUCGCGGCCUAUCAGCUUGUUGGUGAGGUAAUGGCUCACCAAGGCGACGACGGGUAGCCGGCCUGAGAGGGUGACCGGCCACACUGGGACUGAGACACGGCCCAGACUCCUACGGGAGGCAGCAGUGGGGAAUAUUGCACAAUGGGCGCAAGCCUGAUGCAGCGACGCCGCGUGAGGGAUGACGGCCUUCGGGUUGUAAACCUCUUUCAGUAGGGAAGAAGCGAAAGUGACGGUA